rnacentral:rRNA from 17 species
GUGCGAUGAUGGGGGCCUUAUGGCCCGAUAUCCGGUGAUCCCGGCUGCCGAGAAAAGCUUCGGCGUCAGGCUCGAAGCCGCCCGUACCCCAAACCGACACUGGUGGUCAGGUAGAGAAUACCAAAGCGAUCGAGCGAAUCCUGGUCAAGGAACUCGGCAAAUCACUCCCGUGCCUUCGGUAUAAGGGAGACCCGCUGGGGUG